rnacentral:rRNA from 1 species
GACGAACGCUGGCGGCGUGCUUAACACAUGCAAGUCGAACGAAGAGCGAUGGAAGCUUGCUUCUAUCAAUCUUAGUGGCGAACGGGUGAGUAACGCGUAAUCAACCUGCCCUUCAGAGGGGGACAACAGUUGGAAACGACUGCUAAUACCGCAUACGAUCUAACCUCGGCAUCGAGGAUAGAUGAAAGGUGGCCUCUACAUGUAAGCUAUCACUGAAGGAGGGGAUUGCGUCUGAUUAGCUAGUUGGAGGGGUAACGGCCCACCAAGGCGAUGAUCAGUAGCCGGUCUGAGAGGAUGAACGGCCACAUUGGGACUGAGACACGGCCCAGACUCCUACGGGAGGCAGCAGUGGGGAAUCUUCCGCAAUGGACGAAAGUCUGACGGAGCAACGCCGCGUGAGUGAUGACGGCCUUCGGGUUGUAAAGCUCUGUUAAUCGGGACGAAAGGCCUUCUUGCGAAUAGUUAGAAGGAUUGACGGUACCGUAAUAGAAAGCCACGGCUAACUACGUG